rnacentral:rRNA from 1 species
UACGGGGGGAGCAAGCGUUGUUCGGAUUUACUGGGCGUAAAGGGCGCGUAGGCGGCCACUGCAAGUCAGUUGUGAAAUCUCCGGGCUUAACCCGGAAAGGUCAACUGAUACUGCAGGGCUAGAGUGCAGAAGGGGCAACUGGAAUUCUCGGUGUAGCGGUGAAAUGCGUAGAUAUCGAGAGGAACACCUGCGGCGAAGGCGGGUUGCUGGGCUGACACUGACGCUGAGGCGCGAAAGUGUGGGGAGCGAACAGG